CUUGAUAGCUAUAAGAGGUCCAGCCUGCCCAGUGAUAAAUUCAACGGCCGCGGUAUCCUAACCGUGCGAAGGUAGCAUAAUCACUUGUUCUUUAAAUAGGGACUCGUAUCAACGGCAUCACGAGGGUUACACUGUCUCCUCUUUCCAAUCAGUGAAACUGAUCUUCCCGUGAAGAAGCGGGAAUGAACUAAUAAGACGAGAAGACCCCAUGGAGCUUUAAACCUCACAGCAACUCUAACAUAUAUUUCCCCAUAACCCGCAGAGCAAUGCUAGUCGGUUUUAGGUUGGGGUGACCGCGGAGCAAAAACUACCCUCCACGACGAACAGAACUAAAUCUUUAUCCAAGAGCAACCACUCUAAGAACUAGCACACUAACGUAUCAUGACCCGAUAAUCGAUCAACGGACCA
rnacentral:rRNA from 1 species